CCUACGGGCUGCACCAGUGGGGAAUAUUGCACAAUGGGCGCAAGCCUGAUGCAGCCAUGCCGCGUGUAUGAAGAAGGCCUUCGGGUUGUAAAGUACUUUCAGCGGGGAGGAAGGUGUUGUGGUUAAUAACCGCAGCAAUAGACGUUACCCGCAGAAGAAGCACCGGCUAACUCCGUGCCAGCAGCCGCGGUAAUACGGAGGGUGCAAGCGUUAAUCGGAAUUACUGUGCGUAAGGCGCACGCAGGCGGUCUGUCAAGUCGGAUGUGAAAUCCCCGGGCUCAACCUGGGAACUGCAUUCGAAACUGGCAGGCUAGAGUCUUGUAGAGGGGGGUAGAAUUCCAGGUGUAGCGGUGAAAUGCGUAGAGAUCUGGAGGAAUACCGGUGGCGAAGGCGGCCCCCUGGACAAAGACUGACGCUCAGGUGCGAAAGCGUGGGGAGCAAACAGGAUUAGAUACCCCGGUAGUC
rnacentral:rRNA from 1 species